rnacentral:rRNA from 1 species
AUACGGAGGGGGCAAGCGUUGUUCGGAAUUACUGGGCGUAAAGGGCGCGUAGGCGGAUUAUCAAGUCAGGCGUGAAAGCCCUGGGCUCAACCCAGGAACUGCGUUUGAUACUGGUUGACUAGAGGCCGGGAGAGGGUAGUGGAAUUCCCAGUGUAGAGGUGAAAUUCGUAGAUAUUAGGAAGAACACCGGUGGCGAAGGCGGCUACCUGGACCGGACCUGACGCUGAGGUGCGAAAGCGUGGGGAGCAAACAGGAUUAGAAACCCCGGUAGUCC